rfam:Daucus carota subsp. sativus cultivar DH1 chromosome 2, whole genome shotgun sequence.
GAAAGAACAAGCAGUGAAGCUAGCCAAAAAUGCCUGCCUAUAUCCAGAUAAAGGAUUUUCUGGUGCAUGGCCAAAAUCCUAAAAAGGAGGCAUGCAGGCAAGUCAUUCUUGGCUACCAAACAUGGUUGUUCUUU